rnacentral:rRNA from 1 species
GGGCCCGCACAAGCGGUGGAUGAUGUGGUUUAAUUCGAUGCAACGCGAAAAACCUUACCUACCCUUGACAUGCUAGGAACGCUGCAGAAAUGCAGCGGUGCCCGAAAGGGAACCUAGACACAGGUGCUGCAUGGCUGUCGUCAGCUCGUGUCGUGAGAUGUUGGGUUAAGUCCCGCAACGAGCGCAACCCUUGCCAUUAGUUGCUACAUUCAGUUGAGCACUCUAAUGGGACUGCCGGUGACAAACCGGAGGAAGGUGGGGAUGACGUCAAGUCCUCAUGGCCCUUAUGGGUAGGGCUACACACGUCAUACAAUGGCGCGUACAGAGGGUUGCCAACCCGCGAGGGGGAGCCAAUCCCAGAAAGCGCGUCGUAGUCCGGAUUGAAGUCUGCAACUCGACUUCAUGAAGUCGGAAUCGCUAGUAAUCGCGGAUCAGCAUGUCGCGGUGAAUACGUUCCCGGGCCUU